rnacentral:rRNA from 1 species
GAUGAACGCUGGCGGCGUGCCUAAUACAUGCAGGUCGAGCGAACAGACGAGGAGCUUGCUCCUCUGACGUUAGCGGCGGACGGGUGAGUAACACGUGGAUAACCUACCUAUAAGACUGGGAUAACUUCGGGAAACCGGAGCUAAUACCGGAUAAUAUAUUGAACCGCAUGGUUCAAUAGUGAAAGACGGUUUUGCUGUCACUUAUAGAUGGAUCCGCGCCGCAUUAGCUAGUUGGUAAGGUAACGGCUUACCAAGGCGACGAUGCGUAGCCGACCUGAGAGGGUGAUCGGCCACACUGGAACUGAGACACGGUCCAGACUCCUACGGGAGGCAGCAGUAGGGAAUCUUCCGCAAUGGGCGAAAGCCUGACGGAACAACGCCGCGUGAGUGAUGAAGGUCUUCGGAUCGUAAAACUCUGUUAUUAGGGAAGAACAAAUGUGUAAGUAACUAUGCACGUCUUGACGGUACCUAAUCAGAAAGCCACGGCUAACUACGUG